GGAGGCGGAGGCGGAAGGGGCCAAGGCCCGCAGGACCAGACCUCUGGGCUGAGCCUGCCCGUUCCCCCGGACCAUGUGCACACUGACCCUGCAGUCACCUUUGAGUCAGGCGGUACUAACCAAGCGGACCUGCCUGGUGGCCCCGUCGCUCCCUGGGGUCCCAGAGCAGUGCAGAGCCACCUGAGCAGGACUGGAGUCCUCUCAGCUGGGCCCUGGAAGUGGACACCUCCGGGAAGGGGUGGGGGUACGGGCCCUCCCCAAGACUCUGUUGGGGCUCGGCCCAUGGUGACCUCAUGCUCUUGGUGUCAGGGUUGCCAGGCAGUAGGACCCCCUAGACCCCAGGGUGUGUGCAGGGAGGGUCUGUGGAGGCUGGAGGUGCCCUGCAAGGAAAACAGCCCAGGGGAAAGGGGGUGGCCCCAGUGGCCCGCAGGCAAGAAGAGGAGAAAGGGCCAUCUGAGUUGGGAUGGGAGAGUCACUCCUAGAGGGCCUUGAACCCCCCACGGGGCCUAGACUUCACUCUGCAGACUCCAGAAGGGGCCUGUGGCAGGGGCAGGGAUUGGAGGGUGGCCCCAGGGCAGCAGAGAGGCCAGCGGGAAGCCCAGUGCCACCCCUCAGGACAAAGGAGGCAGAUCUGUGCCUCCUGGACACAAAUGGGACAGUGUUUCCUUGGGGGCAGGUGGGCAGAGGUGGCCUCCCCACUGCUGGGGGCCAUGCGUCCUGGGAGGGGUCCCUCUGGAGCUGCUACUGGGAGACCAAGGGACCCCUGAGGCUCAGUGCUGCCCACCCCCCGAGGUGCCCCGCCACCGGGCCCUCCUCUGCACACCCAGGAGGGGUGUGAUCUUUGAGUGCAUCUCUGACUACAUCCAGCCUAUUCGCACGUUUGCCUGGCACCAUGGAUUCUACCUAGAGGCGGCCUCUGCUGAAUCGCUGGUGCUGUCCUCACAGGGGACCUGCUCAUAAAACAGCCCUAGCCCUGGCGCAGGGUCAGCCCGUGGGUUGUGUUUGCCCUUUGGUUUCCAGAGCUAGUGGCCACGGGGCCUGUGUUUGUUGUUUUGUGUUUCGGCUGUAAACAGAAGGGUCGGUGCAGGCAGAAUGCUACCCUGUACAUUAUCCAGGAUGUUGGGGAUAGACAGCAACUUACACAAGCUAGUGCACAUUCGGGGGCACGCUCCGGACCCCCGCCUCCCUGCCUCUGUGCCCACACAUGGGCUGUGAUAACCAGCAUGAAGUGGGCUUGCCCCAGGCAGCUGUGGUUUCUCUCCGUUUUUAAGGGAGGAGGCACCAGCCCGGUGUGUUCGGGGAGGGAGAGGACGUCAGUGCACAGAAGGAAGAGGGCACCGCGGCAUCUCCCCUCACACGCUGGCUGGCGCCGCUGGUCUUUCCCACUCACCAGAAGACCCGAGGGAGCAGCCGUAGCUCAAAAUGUAAACCCGGCAGGGCUGGGGCCCCUCAUCCUGUUGGGGGAAGCCUCAGACUAUCCGGUGUCCCUCGGCAGUGCCCGGGCUGUGCGCAGCCCCUCCUGGGGAAGCAGUCGUCUCAGGUUUGAUGUCAGAGCCACGUGGGACCCAAGGUUAGGGCUGAUCCAUAGAGGAUGAAGGAAAAGGGAUCCCCAGUUCCCGUUGUAGCAGAUGCACCAGAGCUGAGAUGGGAGCAAGGAUUAAGGUGCUCUGGUGUUCCAGGACAUUGGGAGAGACAAACCUGUUCAUCUUAUUUUUCAGGAAAAAAAGGGGAACACCCUCCUGAAGUCUUGGGGAGCCAUCAGCUGGCUUCACAGCCUCCUGGGGGUGGCUGAGAGUGUGGCCCCUGUGGGGAUGCCAGGCUGGAGGGGCCAGCUCUGGAUGCAGGUGGAGCUUUGCACCCUGCAGCUCGUGGUUCUCCCGUCUACAAAUGGCGUUGGCUUCAGCAGCUUUGCCACACCUUGGAAGAUGGGAAAAGCAUUCAGGCUCAAGCAAUCUUUGCCAAGACUGCAUCGACAGGACUCCAGAGAGGAUGAGCAGAAUUCAGACGUACGUGGCGCCCAGCUCCAGCGGGGGAGACAGUUGGUCCUCACCCAGGCGGCCAGGGUGGCAGCGGAUUCCACACGGGCGCUGUCCCUUCAGCACCUCCAGCACCGUCCUCUCGCCGGAACCUGCAAGCCCAGCCCAUUCUCUGAUCUCCUCCAGGGAGGUAACCUCGAGGCCUCCCCAGCCUCCCACGUCACUGGGCUGCACCAAACGACCAGAGAACAUGAAGGCUGCACUGCCAGGACUGGCUGCUCCUGCCGAUCGAGGCCAGUUCAUCUGUCCCCAGAGUCCUCUUUUGGUCUCCCCCACGCCGGCAGAAAGCGAACCACAGGGACUGCGGCCGCCUGCUGCCCGGGUCCCCUGGGGCUUCUCCCACUGUCCUCCCUGAAGCCUGGCGCAGAGAGGGGCCCAGAGUCGAUGGUUGUUAGAGGACAAACAAGCACGUCUGGGUCACUGCCAGGGAGAACCCAUAGGGUAACCUUGCCUAUACAGUACAGGUCACAGAGCAGCCCUCCAGAGCCCACCUCUGCUCCCCCUCAGGUGCAGGUGCAGUCCUGCUGGGUCAUGACUCCAGUCUCACAGGCUCGGCACUGGAAUGGUGGGACCAAAAGUGAAAAACCGAGGCCAGGCCAGGCGACUUAUGCCUGUAAGUCCAGAGCUUUGGGAGGCUGAGGUGGGCAGACUGCUUGAGUCCAAGAGUUUGAGACCAGCCUGGGCAACACAGAAACCCUGUCUCUACAAAACUGCGAAAAUCAUCUGGGCUGGGUGGCCUGCCUGUGAUCCUAGCUGCCCAGGAGGCUGAGGUGGGAGAACCGCUUUAAUCCAGGAGGUCCCGGCUGCAGUGAUGGCAUGAUGGCACCACUGCACUCCAGCUUCGGUAAGAGAGACCCUGUCUCAAAAAAUAAAUAAAUAAAUGAAACUUA